UACAGGGGGGGCAAGCGUUGUUCGGAAUUACUGGGCGUAAAGGGCCAGUAGGCGGCUAACUAAGUCCGACGUGAAAUCCCCAGGCUUAACCUGGGAACUGCGUCGGAUACUGGUUGGCUUGAAUUCGGGAGAGGGAUGCAGAAUUCCAGGUGUAGCGGUGAAAUGCGUAGAUAUCUGGAGGAAUACCGGUGGCGGAAGGCGGC
rnacentral:rRNA from 1 species